rnacentral:lncRNA from 1 species
AUGCCUCUGAGAGUGGAAUUUCCAAGGUUGUUUCGUUUAGCCAUGAAUAAGAAAGGGCUGAUAAAAGACUUUUUGAUUUCAAAGUGGUUUAAUAAGGAUAAUUGGGCUGAUUUCUUUAUUCAACCGUUAUUGGAUAAGGAGUUGAAUAUGGUCGUCCGUUUAAAGGAAGCUAUUAGCAGUAAGGUGUUGAUACCUGAGAAGGAGGAUAGAUUAAUUUGGAUUCAUGAUAGCAAUGGG